AUUUACUGUCCGCUCGCUACUCGCAAUUCGCAAUAGCGAAAUUCGCCUAAAAUUUCAUUCGCUUCGCUAGUGACAAUACCAGCAUUAAUCAAGCCAACAAAAUGGCCGUGUCGAAAUUGUGUGCAUAAAAAGUUACUUAAAAAUCUUUGUCAUGUUUACAUAAAAUCAUGGCUUUAAAAGAUGUUGAGCUAAACGUUGCACUGUUUUUGGUGGACGCCGCAGCCCUCUUGGCAACCUUAGCCUUUGGCUUAGUCCUGGUGCCAACCGUAGUCUUUGGCUUAGCCUUGAUUGCAACCUUCGCCUUUGGCUUAGCCUUGGUGGUAACCUUUUUGGCAGCGGCAGGCUUCUUCGCGACUCGCUUCUUUACAUCACCAGCUGCGGUAGCGCGUUUCUUGGCGGGGGCGGCCCUCCUAACUGCAGCAGGUUUAGCUGUAAAACCAUUAAUAUAUAAUCAAGCAACAUUGUAAAUAGAGCACUGUCAAUAAAUAUCCGAAAAUGAGGUUAUGUCUUAAACAACUCAUUAAUAAACAAAAAAUGAAUUUCUAAUUGGUGAGCAAUCUGCUUAAAUUCCAGAAAGUACCAUUUUCGAAUUUCGAUGUCGAAUAUCAGUGCAUGUCAAAUUUUCGGACAUGUUCCGAAAGCUCGAAGUGCUUUCAUUGAAUACACCACUGUGGUCGAAGGUGUUGUUUGCCGGAAGUAAGCAGCAAUUUUAAUAAUAUUGUUUGUUUAUUAUUAUUACUUGUAUACAAGUACUUUGAGAUUAAAAAAUUGAAGGAAUAUUAUAAAGUUGUAUACCAUAAACUUUCCACAUCAUUAUUAUUUAUUAAUUACUUAUAUGAAUUGGUUUAUGUAACAAAAUUAGUUAAAAAACUUAAAUAAAUUAGAAAAUUUAAAAAAAAACUUCUUAACUUCUUAUUAUUUAUAAUGAAUUAUUUAUCAACAAAUUGAUCACAUACUUUAUUUAAUAUCAAAAAUUAAUUCGUGUUGAGUGCAACCUGUUUCGACAAAGCUGGCAGCUGUCUUCGAAAUUCGGAAAUGCAACGCUGCGUUAGUUGUAAAAUCUAAAAACAGGAAAUAGUUCGUCGAAAUUACACUUUGUGCAGUAAUUUAAAAAAACCAGGCAAUUUAAGAAAAUUAUAAUGAUUAAAAAUUAGUGUUUUUAGUGAUUUAUGAUAGUGAGUGUUUGGCUAUCUAGUGGAUGCGUGGAUGUAUAAAUGGGAAAUGUAUAAAUAGCUGCAUCUUUACAAGUGAAGCUGUUGGCAGUAGCAUUUUUGCCGCAUUAUAUCUCUUUUCUAAUUAAAAGUGUUCCUGCAUUUACUUAAUAUUGUUUGGAGCUAAAGCUGGUACAAGUUAGCUUUUCUCUAUUCCACAUAAAUAUAUAGUAUAUACAUAAUAGUUGUGAAGCGAUUUAAUAUUUGACAGUAAGUUUUUCGAUGAUGAGUUCGCAAAAAUUUGUAUUUGCCAAAUUUAAAUGGCCGCUUCUGAUGUGUGUGUGUAAUGAUUUUUUUAACUAUGGAUUGCCGCCUAGCGAAUACCAUAUGAUUCUACAUGCCGUUUAAAGAAAAAUUAUGAACAAAAACAUAAACUCCUUUCCUUGGCCUUCGCUGCUCUGCUGUCUGCUUGGUUGCUACGAAAAUCUGCAAAAAAGUUUACAUACAUAAAUGCAUUGAGGAUUUGCAUAAUCUUGCUUGACUAACCGCAUUGUUUUGACUUCCGCUGUAAACGCACCGCAACGGAUUUUUCCAUAAAAUGACGCUCAAUAAUCGCCUCUUUGCAUGCGGUCUCAUAGGAUAGCGCUGCUACACGUUGAAAGAAGUCGACUACUUUAUAACCGGUUCGCGCGGAAACUGACCAAUACUCGGCUUUAAUGCCGUCCGCGAUUUCUGCUGCCAAACGCUCUACGCGCACGAAUUCUGCUCUGUUCUGCAGAGUUGAAGUGCGCUUACCAAUUU